rnacentral:rRNA from 1 species
UGGGGAAUAUUGCACAAUGGGGGGAACCCUGAUGCAGCGACGCCGCGUGAGUGAAGAAGUCAUUCGUGAUGUAAAGCUCUAUCAGCAGGGAAGAAAAUGACGGUACCUGACUAAGAAGCCCCGGCUAACUACGUGCCAGCAGCCGCGGUAAUACGUAGGGGGCAAGCGUUAUCCGGAUUUACUGGGUGUAAAGGGAGCGUAGACGGCAAUGCAAGUCUGAAGUGAAACCCCGCGGCUCAACUGUGGGAUUGCUUUGGAAACUGUAAAGCUGGAGUGCAGGAGGGGUAAGCGGAAUUCCUAGUGUAGCGGUGAAAUGCGUAGAUAUUAGGAGGAACACCAGUGGCGAAGGCGGCUUACUGGACUGCAACUGACGUUGAGGCUCGAAGGCGUGGGGAGCAAACAGG